CUACGGGAGGCUCCAGUGAGGAAUAUUGCACAAUGGGGGGAACCCUGAUGCAGCAACGCCGCGUGGAGGAUGACGCAUUUCGGUGUGUAAACUCCUUUUAUAUGUCAAGAAAAUGACGGUAGCAUAUGAAUAAGCACCGGCUAACUCCGUGGCCAGCAGCCGCGGUAAUACGGAGGGUGCAAGCGUUACUCGGAAUCACUGGGCGUAAAGGACGCGUAGGCGGGUUGGAAAGUCAGGUGUGAAAUCCUACAGCUUAACUGUAGAACUGCACUUGAAACUUCUAAUCUAGAGUAUGGGAGGGGGAGAUGGAAUUAGUGGUGUAGGGGUAAAAUCCGUAGAUAUCACUAGGAAUACCUAAAGCGAAGGCGAUCUCCUGGAACAUUACUGACGCUAAGGCGUGAAAGCGUGGGGAGCAAACAGGAUUAGAUACCCGCGUAGUU
rnacentral:rRNA from 1 species